rnacentral:rRNA from 1 species
AGUGAACGCUGGCGGUAGGCCUAACACAUGCAAGUCGAACGGCAGCACAGUAAGAGCUUGCUCUUACGGGUGGCGAGUGGCGGACGGGUGAGGAAUACAUCGGAAUCUACUUUUUCGUGGGGGAUAACGUAGGGAAACUUACGCUAAUACCGCAUACGACCUACGGGUUAAAGCAGUGGAUCUUCGGACCUUUCGCGAUUGAAUGAGCCGAUGUCGGAUUAGCUAGUUGGCGGGGUAAAGGCCCACCAAGGCGACGAUCCGUAGCUGGUCUGAGAGGAUGAUCAGCCACACUGGAACUGAGACACGGUCCAGACUCCUACGGGAGGCAGCAGUGGGGAAUAUUGGGCAAUGGGCGAAAGCCUGAUCCAGCAAUACCGCGUGGGUGAAGAAGGCCUUCGGGUUGUAAAGCCCUGUUGUUGGGAAAGAAAAGCAGCAGGUUAAUACACGGCUGUUCUGACGGUACCCAAAGAGUAAGCACCGGCUAACUUCGUG